rnacentral:rRNA from 1 species
UCCCCAGACUCCUACGGGAGGCAGCAGUGGGGAAUAUUGCACAAUGGGGGGAACCCUGAUGCAGCGACGCCGCGUGGGUGAAGGAGCACCUCGGUGCGUAAAGCCCUAUCGGCAGGGAAGAAACAGACGGUACCUGACUAAGAAGCCCCGGCUAACUACGUGCCAGCAGCCGCGGUAAUACGUAGGGGGCAAGCGUUAUCCGGAUUUACUGGGUGUAAAGGGAGCGUAGACGGCAGUGCAAGUCCGGAGUGAAAGCCCGGGGCUCAACCCUGGGACUGCUCUGGAAACUGCAAAGCUGGAGUGCGGGAGGGGCAGGCGGAAUUCCUGGUGUAGCGGUGAAAUGCGUAGAUAUCAGGAGGAACACCGGCGGCGAAGGCGGCCUGCUGGACCGUAACUGACGUUGAGGCUCGAAAGCGUGGGGAGCAAACAGGAUUAGAUACCCUUGUAGG